UGCCAUGCCAGGCCUUGUACUUGUACGUAUGUACUACUUAAGUUACGUCUACGGUAGAUCGACUGAAUUCAACCAGAAGUUGCCGGUUGCAAUCGCGAGGAUUGAAGCGUGUUCUUCGGCAACACUGAGGCAGCAUUUGAGAAGAAAUAUCCCUCAGGCUCAGCUCACCAAUUGAAGGACAAGGACAAGGGUUCUAUCCAGAGUUUCCAAGCACAAUUUUUGUAGGGUGUUUUCUGCAGCUGUAACCCAUGCAUACACACCCUAGCCUCCAGCACAGCAG